UACGUAGGGUGCGAGCGUUAAUCGGAAUUACUGGGCGUAAAGCGUGCGCAGGCGGUUUGUUAAGUCAGAUGUGAAAGCCCCGGGCUUAACCUGGGAAUGGCGUUUGAGACUGGCAAGCUAGAGUCUGUCAGAGGGGGGUAGAAUUCCACGUGUAGCAGUGAAAUGCGUAGAGAUGUGGAGGAAUACCGAUGGCGAAGGCAGCCCCCUGGGAUAAGACUGACGCUCAGGCACGAAAGCGUGGGGAGCAAACAGG
rnacentral:rRNA from 1 species